rnacentral:rRNA from 1 species
AAUGCCCGCAAGGGUGACCCAGCAACGCCGCGUGGAGGAUGAAGGCCGUAAGGUUGUAAACUCCUGUUAGAGGAGAAGAAUAGUACCGAUUGGAUCGGUAUUUGACUGUACCCUCAGAGAAAGCCCCGGCUAACUACGUGCCAGCAGCCGCGGUAAUACGUAGGGGGCAAGCGUUGUCCGGAUUUACUGGGUGUAAAGGGCGCGCAGGCGGNAUAGCAAGUCAGAGGUGAAAUCCUACAGCUUAACUGUAGAACUGCCUUUGAUACUGUUAUUCUUGAGUUCGGGAGAGAGAGACGGAAUUUCAGGUGUAGUGGUGAAAUACGUAGAUAUCUGGAAGAACACCAGUUGCGAAGGCGGCCACCUGGACAGGCAUUGACGCUGAGGUGCGAAAGUGUGGGGAGCAAA